rnacentral:rRNA from 1 species
UGGGGAAUAUUGGACAAUGGGCGAAAGCCUGAUCCAGCCAUGCCGCGUGUGUGAAGAAGGCCUUUUGGUUGUAAAGCACUUUAAGCGAGGAGGAGGCUACUGAGAUUAAUACUCGUGGAUAGUGGACGUUACUCGCAGAAUAAGCACCGGCUAACUCUGUGCCAGCAGCCGCGGUAAUACAGAGGGUGCGAGCGUUAAUCGGAUUUACUGGGCGUAAAGCGUGCGUAGGCGGCUUCUUAAGUCGGAUGUGAAAUCCCUGAGCUUAACUUAGGAAUUGCAUUCGAUACUGGGAAGCUAGAGUAUGGGAGAGGAUGGUAGAAUUCCAGGUGAAGCGGUGAAAUGCGUAGAGAUCUGGAGGAAUACCGAUGGAGAAGGCAGCCAUCUGGCCUAAUACUGACGCUGAGGUACGAAAGCAUGGGGAGCAAACAGG